rnacentral:rRNA from 1 species
UACGUAGGGUGCAAGCGUUAAUCGGAAUUACUGGGCGUAAAGCGUGCGCAGGCGGUUUUGUAAGUCUGUCGUGAAAAUCCCCGGGCUCAACCUGGGAAUUGCGAUGGAGACUGCAAGGCUAGAAUCUGGCAGAGGGGGUAGAAUUCCACGUGUAGCAGUGAAAUGCGUAGAUAUGUGGGAGGAACACCCGAUGGCGAAGGCAGCCCCCUGGGUCAAG